rnacentral:snRNA from 1 species
CUCACUUCGGUGGCACAGACUAAAAUUGGAACAAUACAGAGAAGAUUAGCAUAGUCCUUAGUAUGAGAGUGACAUGCAAACUAGUGACAUGUUCUACAUUUUU